rnacentral:rRNA from 1 species
GACGAACGCUGGCGGCGUGCUUAACACAUGCAAGUCGAACGUGAUUUUUGUGGAAAUUCUUUCGGGAAUGGAAAUGAAAUGAAAGUGGCGAACGGGUGAGUAACACGUGAGCAACCUACCUUACACAGGGGGAUAGCCGUUGGAAACGACGAUUAAUACCGCAUGAGACCACAGAAUCGCAUGAUAUAGGGGUCAAAGAUUUAUCGGUGUAAGAAGGGCUCGCGUCUGAUUAGCUAGUUGGAAGGGUAAAGGCCUACCAAGGCAACGAUCAGUAGCCGGUCUGAGAGGAUGAACGGCCACAUUGGAACUGAGACACGGUCCAAACUCCUACGGGAGGCAGCAGUGGGGAAUAUUGCACAAUGGGGGGAACCCUGAUGCAGCGACGCCGCGUGAGCGAAGAAGGUUUUCGAAUCGUAAAGCUCUGUCCUAUGAGAAGAUAAUGACGGUAUCAUAGGAGGAAGCCCCGGCUAAAUACGUG